AGCAGCCCAGAGCCUGAAUCAGUGUGUGUGUUAGUGGAAGCGUCUGGAAAGGCGCGCGAUACAGGGUGACAGCCCCGUACACAAAAAUGCACAUGCUGUGAGCUCGAUGAGUAGGGCGGGACACGUGGUAUCCUGUCUGAAUAUGGGGGGACCAUCCUCCAAGGCUAAAUACUCCUGACUGACCGAUAGUGAACCAGUACCGUGAGGGAAAGGCGAAAAGAACCCCGGCGAGGGGAGUGAAAAAGAACCUGAAACCGUGUACGUACAAGCAGUGGGAGCACGCUUAGGCGUGUGACUGCGUACCUUUUGUAUAAUGGGUCAGCGACUUAUAUUCUGUAGCAAGGUUAACCGAAUAGGGGAGCCGAAGGGAAACCGAGUCUUAACUGGGCGUUAAGUUGCAGGGUAUAGACCCGAAACCCGGUGAUCUAGCCAUGGGCAGGUUGAAGGUUGGGUAACACUAACUGGAGGACCGAACCGACUAAUGUUGAAAAAUUAGCGGAUGACUUGUGGCUGGGGGUGAAAGGCCAAUCAAACCGGGAGAUAGCUGGUUCUCCCCGAAAGCUAUUUAGGUAGCGCCUCGUGAAUUCAUCUCCGGGGGUAGAGCACUGUUUCGGCAAGGGGGUCAUCCCGACUUACCAACCCGAUGCAAACUGCGAAUACCGGAGAAUGUUAUCACGGGAGACACACGGCGGGUGCUAACGUCCGUCGUGAAGAGGGAAACAACCCAGACCGCCAGCUAAGGUCCCAAAGUCAUGGUUAAGUGGGAAACGAUGUGGGAAGGCCCAGACAGCCAGGAUGUUGGCUUAGAAGCAGCCAUCAUUUAAAGAAAGCGUAAUAGCUCACUGGUCGAGUCGGCCUGCGCGGAAGAUGUAACGGGGCUAAACCAUGCACCGAAGCUGCGGCAGCGACACUAUGUGUUGUUGGGUAGGGGAGCGUUCUGUAAGCCUGUGAAGGUGUACUGUGAGGUAUGCUGGAGGUAUCAGAAGUGCGAAUGCUGACAUAAGUAACGAUAAAGCGGGUGAAAAGCCCGCUCGCCGGAAGACCAAGGGUUCCUGUCCAACGUUAAUCGGGGCAGGGUGAGUCGACCCCUAAGGCGAGGCCGAAAGGCGUAGUCGAUGGGAAACAGGUUAAUAUUCCUGUACUUGGUGUUACUGCGAAGGGGGGACGGAGAAGGCUAUGUUGGCCGGGCGACGGUUGUCCCGGUUUAAGCGUGUAGGCUGGUUUUCCAGGCAAAUCCGGAAAAUCAAGGCUGAGGCGUGAUGACGAGGCACUACGGUGCUGAAGCAACAAAUGCCCUGCUUCCAGGAAAAGCCUCUAAGCAUCAGGUAACAUCAAAUCGUACCCCAAACCGACACAGGUGGUCAGGUAGAGAAUACCAAGGCGCUUGAGAGAACUCGGGUGAAGGAACUAGGCAAAAUGGUGCCGUAACUUCGGGAGAAGGCACGCUGAUAUGUAGGUGAAGUCCCUCGCGGAUGGAGCUGAAAUCAGUCGAAGAUACCAGCUGGCUGCAACUGUUUAUUAAAAACACAGCACUGUGCAAACACGAAAGUGGACGUAUACGGUGUGACGCCUGCCCGGUGCCGGAAGGUUAAUUGAUGGGGUUAGCGCAAGCGAAGCUCUUGAUCGAAGCCCCGGUAAACGGCGGCCGUAACUAUAACGGUCCUAAGGUAGCGAAAUUCCUUGUCGGGUAAGUUCCGACCUGCACGAAUGGCGUAAUGAUGGCCAGGCUGUCUCCACCCGAGACUCAGUGAAAUUGAACUCGCUGUGAAGAUGCAGUGUACCCGCGGCAAGACGGAAAGACCCCGUGAACCUUUACUAUAGCUUGACACUGAACAUUGAGCCUUGAUGUGUAGGAUAGGUGGGAGGCUUUGAAGUGUGGACGCCAGUCUGCAUGGAGCCGGCCUUGAAAUACCACCCUUUAAUGUUUGAUGUUCUAACGUUGACCCGUGAUCCGGGUUGCGGACAGUGUCUGGUGGGUAGUUUGACUGGGGCGGUCUCCUCCUAAAGAGUAACGGAGGAGCACGAAGGUUGGCUAAUCCUGGUCGGACAUCAGGAGGUUAGUGCAAUGGCAUAAGCCAGCUUGACUGCGAGCGUGACGGCGCGAGCAGGUGCGAAAGCAGGUCAUAGUGAUCCGGUGGUUCUGAAUGGAAGGGCCAUCGCUCAACGGAUAAAAGGUACUCCGGGGAUAACAGGCUGAUACCGCCCAAGAGUUCAUAUCGACGGCGGUGUUUGGCACCUUGAUGUCGGCUCAUCACAUCCUGGGGCUGAAGUAGGUCCCAAGGGUAUGGCUGUUCGCCAUUUAAAGUGGUACGCGAGCUGGGUUUAGAACGUCGUGAGACAGUUCGGUCCCUAUCUGCCGUGGGCGCUGGAGAACUGAGGGGGGCUGCUCCUAGUACGAGAGGACCGGAGUGGACGCAUCACUGGUGUUCGGGUUGUCAUGCCAAUGGCACUGCCCGGUAGCUAAAUGCGGAAGAGAUAAGUGCUGAAAGCAUCUAAGCACGAAACUUGCCCCGAGAUGAGUUCUCCCUGACUCCUUGAGAGUCCUGAAGGAACGUUGAAGACGACGACGUUGAUAGGCCGGGUGUGUAAGCGCAGCGAUGCGUUGAGCUAACCGGUACUAAUGAACCGUGAGGCUUAACCUU
rnacentral:rRNA from 1 species